AACGAACGCUGGCGGCAUGCCUAACACAUGCAAGUCGAACGAAGGCUUCGGCCUUAGUGGCGCACGGGUGAGUAACGCGUGGGAAACUGCCUAUUGGUGGGAAUAACGACGGGAAACUGUCGCCAAUACCGCAUAAGCCCUUCGGGGGAAAGAUUUAUCGCCGAUAGAUGUGCCCGCGUCCGAUUAGCUAGUUGGUGAGGUAAUGGCUCACCAAGGCGACGAUCGGUAGCUGGUCUGAGAGGAUGAUCAGCCACACUGGGACUGAGACACGGCCCAGACUCCUACGGGAGGCAGCAGUGGGGAACAUUGGACAAUGGGCGAAAGCCUGAUCCAGCAAUGCCGCGUGAGUGAUGAAGGCCUUAGGGUUGUAAAGCUCUUUCGGGUGGGACGAUGAUGACGGUACCACCAGAGGAAGCCCCGGCUAACUUCGUGCCAGCCGCCGCGGUAA
rnacentral:rRNA from 1 species